UGAAUACGAGAUGCUACGGCGUCGAAGCAGUCUAUGUCAUACUUCCAAGAAAAGCUUGCACUGUCAUAAACAAAUAAUGCCUGUACCAUAACCGACACAGGUGGGUAGGUAGAGUAUACUAAGGGGCGCGAGAUGACUCUCUCUAAGGAACUCGGCAAAAUGACUCCGUAACUUCGGGAGAAGGAGUGCCUUAUUUAUAAGGUUGCAAUAACAAGACCCAAGCAACUGUUUAUCAAAAACACAGGUCUCCGCUAAGUCGUAAGACGAUGUAUGGGGGCUGACGCCUGCCCAGUGCCAGAAGGUUAAAGAAGUUGGUUAGCAUUAGCGAAGCUGAUGACUGAAGCCCUGGUGAACGGCGGCCGUAACUAUAACGGUCCUAAGGUAGCGAAAUUCCUCGUCGGGUAAGUUCCGACCCGCACGAAAGGCGUAAUGAUUUGGGUACUGUCUCAGAGAGGGACUCGGUGAAAUAGACUUGUCUGUGAAGAUGCGGACUACCUGCACCUGGACAGAAAGACCCUAUGAAGCUUUACUGUAACCUGAAAUUGAAAUUGGACUUUAUUUGCGCAGUAUAGGUGGGAGGCUUUGAAGAUAUUCUUGCGGGAAUGUUGGAGCCAUCAGUGAGAUACCACUCUUGUAAUGUUAGAUUUCUAACUUUGUAUCAUUAUCUGGUCAAAGAACAGUUUCAGGCGGGCAGUUUGACUGGGGCGGUCGCCUCCUAAACGGUAACGGAGGCGCACAAAGGUUUCCUCUGAACGGGUAGAAAUCGUAUCUAGAGUGUAAAGGCAUAAGGAAGCUUGACUGUGAGACCUACAAGUCGAGCAGGGACGAAAGUCGGUCUUAGUGAUCUGACGGUGCUGAGUGGAAAGGCCGUCACUCAACGGAUAAAAGUUACUCUAGGGAUAACAGGCUGAUCUCCCCCAAGAGUUCACAUCGACGGGGAGGUUUGGCACCUCGAUGUCGGCUCAUCGCAUCCUGGGGCGGUAGUACGUCCCAAGGGUUGGGCUGUUCGCCCAUGAAAGCGGUACGCGAGCUGGGUUCAGAACGUCGUGAGACAGUUCGGUCCAUAUCCGGUGUAGGCGUUAGAAUAUUGAGAGGAGCCUUCUCUAGUACGAGAGGACCGAGAAGGACACACCUCUGGUGUACCAGUUAUCGUGCCAACGGUAAACGCUGGGUAGCUAUGUGUGGAGCGGAUAACCGCUGAGAGCAUCUAAGUGGGAAGCCCACCUCAAGAUAAGUAUUCUCA
rnacentral:rRNA from 1 species